CCUACGGGUGGCAGCAGUGGGGAAUAUUGGGCAAUGGGCGAAAGCCUGACCCAGCAACGCCGCGUGAAGGAAGAAGGCUUUCGGGUUGUAAACUUCUUUUGACAGGGAAGAGAAGAAGACGGGACCUGUCGAAUAAGCCACGGCUAACGACGUGCCAGCAGCCGCGGUAAUACGUAGGUGGCAAGCGUUGUCCGGAUUUACUGGGUGGAAAGGGCGUGUAGCCGGGCUGACAAGGCAGAUGUGAAAUCCGGGGGCUCAACCCCCGAACUGCAUUUGAAACUGUUGGUCUUGAGUAUCGGAGAGGCAGGCGGAAUUCCUCGUGUAGCGGUGACAUGCGUAGAUAUUAGGAGGAACCCCAGUGGCGAAGGCGGCCUGCUGGACGACAACUGACGGUGAGGCGCGAAAGCGUGGGGAGCAAACAGGAUUAGAUACCCUAGUAGUC
rnacentral:rRNA from 1 species